rnacentral:sRNA from 1 species
UGUUCCUAGCAGGUGGAAUCCACAACUGUUGCAACAAGACGAUUAAGUGGCUUCCUGAGGACACUUGCGGACCGGCUGGAGGGCACCAAAGAAGUGCUUUCCUCAGACAUGAAGAAGGAUUUUAUUAUGCACAGACUCCCCCCUUACUCUGCGGGAGAUGGGGCAGAGCUGUCAACACCAGGUGGAAAGUUACCGAGGCUGGACAGUGUAGUGAGACUGCAGUUUAAAGACCACAUUGUCCUCACAGUACUGCCAGAUCAAGAUCAAUCUGAUGAAGCUCAAGAAAAGAUGGUGUACAUCUAUCAUUCCUUAAAGAAUAGCAGAGAGAUACACAUGAUGGGAAAUGAAGAGGAAACAGAGUCUCAUGGACUUCGCUUCCCUUUGUCACAUUUGGAUGCACUGAAGCAAAUUUGGAACAGUCCAGCUAUUUCUGUCAACGACCUGAAACUUACUACAGAUGAGGAAAAGGAAAGCCUGGUAUUGUCCCUCUGGACAGAAUGUUUAAUUCAAGUAGUCUAGUGCCUUUGCAGAAUCAAAUGCCUACUAUUUUAUAUGCACAUAUUAAAAGAAAAGCAAAGACCUGAGCCGAGGAGAGGAUGAAUUCAAGUUUCCUUACCUGCGUAUCUACUAACAUGAGACCUCCCUGUUACAGGUGGUCAGUUGGCCAAAUGUACUAACGGGCACAUGAAAGAAAGAACAGCAAAUUACCAAGUGUCUCAGAAAAUGACAAAACCAUAUUUUGACAAGUUUAUUUAAUCCAGUGUGGUAGAAAAGGCACAAUUCCAAUGUGUCAUUUAGAAUUGAAUGUCAUUAACCUGGCUUUGUUCUUUGGAAGAAACAACUUCUUUAAAGAGCUUCUUUGGCUCUAGAAAAAUUUCAAACAAUUAAAAUAAGAAAAAAAUUUAAAUUUUUUUUUUACAAUGAAAAUAUACAUACCUUUGUGUAUAGACAAGCCCAUGCCCAUUAAAAUAAAGUUAUCCUGUAAGAUAAAUUUUAUUAAAUAAUACUGCCCCACAGAUGAGAGGCACGCAACACCUAUGGACAAAAGGGAGUUACAGAGGCUGCUUAAAAGAUGGAGAAAAGCCUGAGAUUGAAGGAGGAAAAAACCCAGUAUUUAAAGUCUAUAAAAAAUACUCAAAAUAGUGGGUCUUCGAGUUUAAAAUAGUCAUUGUUAUUUUACAUUCUAAAGUGCAUAUAGGUUGAUAUUUUUUUAAAUAUCAUUGGAGAAUUUAAUCUUUAUAAAAAUAGAGCAUUUUUCUGCUUUCUGGCAAAACUUGGGGAUAAAAGG